rnacentral:siRNA from 1 species
ACGUCUGCCUGGGUGUCAC